GACGAACGCUGGCGGCGUGCUUAACACAUGCAAGUCGAGCGGAAAGGCCCUUUCGGGGGUACUCGAGCGGCGAACGGGUGAGUAACACGUGAGUAAUCUGCCCUUGGCUUUGGGAUAACCACCGGAAACGGUGGCUAAUACCGGAUAUGACGGGCUCCGGCAUCGGGGUUCGUGGAAAGUUUUUUCGGCCAGGGAUGUGCUCGCGGCCUAUCAGCUUGUUGGUGGGGUAAUGGCCUACCAAGGCUUCGACGGGUAGCCGGCCUGAGAGGGUGACCGGCCACACUGGGACUGAGACAGGCCCAGACUCCUACGGGAGGCAGCAGUGGGGAAUAUUGGACAAUGGGCGAAGCCUGAUCCAGCAACGCCGCGUGAGGGAUGACGG
rnacentral:rRNA from 1 species